rnacentral:lncRNA from 1 species
CCCAACUCUGACCCUGUAACCCUAACCCUAACCUUGGCCCUGACCCUAACCCUGACCCUAUAACCCAACCCUCACCCUAUGAUCCUAACCCUAACCUGAUGCUGACACAGACCCUAACCCCAACCAGUCCUGACCCUAUAACUCUAACCCAAACCGUAUCCCUGUCCCUAUAACUCUAACCCCAUAACUCUGACCCUAUAAAUCAACCUCGACCCCAACCCCAUACCCAACACCAGUCCUAAACUGAAACCUGACCCUAACACUCUAACCCUAACCCCAACCCUAACCCUGACCCCAUAAUGCUAACCCUAAUCCUGACCCCAUAACUCUAACCCUAACCCUGACCCCAUAACUCUAACCCUAACCCUGACCCCAUAACAGUAACCCUAACCCUGACCCCAUAACGCUAACCCUAACCCUGAUCCCAUAACGCUAACCCUAACCCUGACCCCAUAACUCUAACCCUAACCCUGACCCCAUAACUCUAACCCUAACCCUAACCCUAAUCCCUGUAGGAUUUUUCUCAGUGGGUUUUGGGUCUGUAGAAGUUUUCUCAAUGGGUUUCGGGUCCAGGAGGGUUUUCUCAAUGGGUUUUGUGUCCAUCGGAGUUUUCCCAAUGGGAUUUGGGCCCCGUGGGACUUUUCUCAAUGGGGUUUGGGUGUAUGGGAGAUUUCUCAAUGGGUUUUGGGCCCUGUGGGAAUUUUCUCAAUGGGUUUUGGGUCAGUAGGAUUUUCCCAAUAGGUUUUGGGUCUGUGGGAGUUUUCUCAGUGGGUUUUGGGUCAGUAGGAUUUUUCCCAAUAGGAUUUGGGUCUAUGGGAGUUUUCUCAAUGGGUUUCGGGUCCAUAGGAGUUCUCCCAAUGGGGUUUGGGCCCUGUGGGAAUUUGCUCAGUGGGUUUGGGGUCUGUAGGAUUUUUCUCAGUGGAUUUUGGCUCUGUAGAAGUUUUCUUUUUCAUUGAGUUUUGGGUCUGUGGGAGUUUUCUCAAUGGGGUUUGGGGUCGAUGGGGGUUUUCUCAGUGGGGUUUGGGUGUACGGGAUUUUUCUCAAUGGGUUUUGUAUCCAUCAAAGAUGUCCUAAUGGGGUCUGGGCCCCGUGGGAGUUUUCUCAAUGGGGUUUGGGUGUAUGGAGGUUUUCUCAUUGGGUUUUGGGCCCUGUGGGGGUGGGGGGUUCUUAACGGGUUUUGUGUCCGUAGGAGUUUUCCCAAUGGGGUCUGGGCCCUGUGGGAGUUUUCUCAGUGGGUUUUGGGUCAGUAGGAUUUUUUCCCAAUAGGAUUUGGGUCUAUAGAAGUUUUUCUCAAUGAGUUUUGGGUGUAUGGGUAUUUUCUUGAUAGGUUUUGUGUCCGUAGGAGUUUUCCCAAUGGGUUUUGGGGUCUGUAGGAUUUUUCUCAGUGGAUUUUGGCUCUGUAGAAGUUUUCUUUUUCAAUGAGUUUUGGGUCUGUGGGAGUUUUCUCAAUGGGGUUUGGGGUCGAUGGGGGUUUUCUCCACGGAUUUUGUGUCCAUUGGAGUUUUCUCAAUGGGGUGUGGGCCCUGGGGGGGGGGCGGUUCUCAAUGGGUUUUGGGUCUAUAGGACUUUUUUUCAAUGGGUUUUGGAUCCAUGAGAGUUUUCCCAAUGGGUUUUGGGUCCAGAGGAAUUUUCCCGAUGGGGUUUGGGCCCCGCGGGAGUUUUCUCAGCGGCUUUUGUGUCUGUAGAAGGUUUUUUUUUUUUCAACGGGUUUUGGGUCCAUUGCAGUUUUCUCGAUGGGUUUUGGGCCCUACGGGAGUUUUCUCAAUGGGUUUUUGGGUCUAUGAGAGUUUUCUCAAUGGGGCUUUGGGCCCUCCGGGGGUUUCUCAAUGGCUUUCGGCCCGCAGAGGCUCCGGUUGGCGGCGGCUCCGAGCACCACCCGAGCAGCAGCGCGGCUCUCUCGGCCGGAAGGACGGCCCGCCGCUCCGGUUCGGUUCUGCCCCGCGGAGCGGUUGGGCCCGCCGGGUCCCGCGGCCGUCCGUCGCCGCGCUGUUUGUUUGCCCGUUGCCCGGAGCCGCGACCGUCCGCUGCGCUCCGCGCCUCUGCGGUUUCCCGUCCCCCGAAAGCGGUUAUUUGGGAUUUGAGUUUUUGUCGCUUUUCUUUUCCUGUUGUUAUCGGGGAGAUCCCAACCUCCGCUCGCGCUGACGCGGAGCUGACGGCAGCGCUACGAAUCGGGAAAGGGGGGGGGGGAGGGGGGGGGGGAAACGGGGGGCGGCCCCACGUAGAGAGCGGCAGCGGCACCGCGUGGCCACCGGGAGCCGCGCAGCGGCGGCUGCGGGCAGCGCUGCGCCGGGUGGGACUGCGGGGGUUUGAGGUCCCUCCCAACGCAACGGCGCUGUGAUGCCGCGGUUCUGGGGACCGUAGGGUCCCUCCGAGCCGCCCGUGCUGCGAUUCUAUGGGUCUGUGGUCUAUAGGGCCUCUCCAAAGCAACCGUGCUGUGCAUCCGUUGCCUGUGAUCCAUAGGAUCCCUCCAACCCACCCGUGCUGUGAUCCCGUGGUUCUGUGAUCUAUAGGGCCCCUUCAACCCAACGAUGUGAUUCUGUGAUCUAUAGGGUCCCUUCCAACCCACCCUAGCUGUGAUCCCAUUGUUCUGUGAUCUAUAUGGUCUGUUCCAACCCAAGGAUGUGAUUCUGUCAUCUAUAGGGUCCCUUCCAACACACCCGUGUUGUGAUCCCUCGGUUCAGUGAUCUAUAGGGCCCCUCCAACCCAACAAUGUUAUUCUGUGAUCUAUAGGGUCCCUUUCAACCCAACCACUCCACUCAGUGAUCCCAUGGUUUUAUGAUCCAUAGGGUCCUCCCGUCCCAACCACUCAGUGAUCCCAUGGUUCUAUGAUCGAUGGGGUCCCUUUCAACCCAACCACUCAGUGAUCCCAUGGUUUUAUGAUCCAUAGGGUCCUCCCAUCCCAACCACUCAGUGAUCCCAUGGUUUUAUGAUCUAUAGGGUCCCUGUCAACCCAACCACUCAGUGAUCCCAUGGUUUUAUGAUCCAUAGGGUCCUCCCAUCCCAACCACUCAGUGAUCCCAUGGUUCUAUGACCUACAGGGUCCCUUUCAACCCAACCACGCGAUUCUGUGGUCUAUAGGGCCCAUCCCGACCCACAGCUCACAGCAUCAUGAGGCACACACAGAAAGCAGCGGUGCUCAAUGCCUCCUCUGCCCGCAGCGCCCAAACUGCAGAGAGCAAAGGAAGGAACUGAGAGAAGGACGAUCUGCCCCCCAAAGAUGAGGUCUGAAAGCAGCUGUAGGGCCUGAAGGUGCUAUGGGGCCGACGAGAUCCCUCCAUGGGUUCAGGGGGAGCUGCGGGGUGAUGCCGCCACGCUGCCCUCCAUCGUAUUCGGAAGGUGGUGGCAUUGGGAGACAUUCCCAUGGGUUGGAAAAGGGGACACACAGCUCCCGUUCCCAGGAAGGGGAAAAAUGGGGGGGGGGGGGGGGGGGGGAGAACUGCACAGCAGAGGUUUCCCCUCUGUGCCUGCGGGACUGUGGGGCACACAGGGGGGUCACGGAAAAGAAGGAUGGGGUGGUUGGUGGUAAGCAGCAUGGCUUCAGCAGGGCUGUGAGGAGGGUUUGGGGGUGUGGGUCGAUGAAAGAGGGCUGCCCAAAUCCUGCCUUGCUUUGGGAGCAGUGCAGCCAGCAGGGUGGGGGAUGGGGGGGUUGGGGGGGGAUGGGGGGGGGAUGGGGGGGGGUCCUGCCCCUCUGCUCUCCUGAGCCCCCAUCGGGAACGCUGCAUUCAGGUCUGAGCCCCCAGCAGCAGAAGGACACGGAGCUGUUGGUGCGUCACAGAGGUGAGCAGAGGAUGGAGCACCUCCAAAACAGGGACAGGCUGAGAGCUGGGGCUGUGCAGCCUGGGGAAGGGGCAUUAUAGCUGAGAGCUGGGGCUGUGCAGCCUGGGGAAGGGGCAUUAUAGCUGAGAGCUGGGGCUGUGCAGCCUGGGGAAGGGGCAUUAUAGCUGAGAGCUGGGGCUGUGCAGCCUGGGGAAGGGGCAUUACAGCCCAUUAUAGCCCUGCCAGGACCUGGGGGGGGUGGGGGGGGGGAAGCUAGGAAGGACUUCUUACAAGGGCGGGUAGCGACAGGAUAAGGGGAAAUGGCUUUGAGCUGGGAGAGGGGAGGACUAGAGCGGAUGUUAGGAGGGAAUUCUUCACUGUGAGGGGGGGCAGAGGUUGGGACAGGGCAUGGGGGGGCUGUGGGUGACCCCUCCCCAGGGGGGAUGGGGCUCUGAGCAGUCCGGUGUGCUGCGAGCCGGCCCUGCCAGCAGCGGGAGGUGCAGUGAGGUGAUCUAUAGGGCCCCUUCCGACCCAAACCGUGCAGUGAUUUGGUGAUUCUGUGAUCUAUAGGGCCCCUUCUGACCCAAACCGUGCCGUGAUUCGGUGAUUCUGUGAUCUAUAGGGCCUCUCCCAACCCAAACCGUGCCGUGAUUCGGUGAUUCUGUGAUCUAUAGGGCCCCUUCCGACCCAAACUGUGCAGUGAUUCGGUGAUUCUGUGAUCUAUAGGGCCCCUUCCGACCCAAACUGUGCCGUGAUUCGGUGAUUCUGUGAUCUAUAGGGCCCCUUCCGACCCAAACCGUGCCGUGAUUCGGUGAUUCUGUGAUCUAUAGGGCCCCUUCCGACCCAAACCGUGCCGUGAUUCGGUGAUUCUGUGAUCUAUAGGGCCCCUUCCGACCCAAACCGUGCCGUGAUUCGGUGAUUCUGUGAUCUAUAGGGCCCCUUCCGACCCAAACCGUGCCGUGAUUCAGUGAUUCUAUGAUCUAUAGGGCCCCUUCCGACCCAAACCAUGCAGUGAUUCGGUGAUUCUGUGACCUAUAGGGCCCCUUCCGACCCAAACCGUGCCGUGAUUCGGUGAUUCUGUGAUCUAUAGGGCCCCUUCCGACCCAAACCGUGCCGUGAUUCGGUGAUUCUGCAAUCUAUAGGGACCCCUCCAACCCAACCAUGACGUGACUCUACGAUCCGUAGGGUCCCUUCAACCCAAUUCGUGCCGUGAUCCCACAGUUCUGUGAUCCAUACGGUCCCUCCCAACCCAACCGUGCCACGACCCCAUGGCCGUGUCCCCACAGCCCCAGAGCAGCCCUAGGGAGGGCGGCAUCCCCU